CAAGGGAUAAAGAACAGCCAAGGUGAGGGCUCCGUCCUGCCUGCUCCCAGCCGUGCCAUGGCUCCGUGUCUCCUGCUGCCCCUGCUGCUGCUGGCUGCCCUCGGCUCCCACUGCACCCAGGGGUUGAUUGCUCCAGCCAGCUGAGCCCCACGGCCUCUCUGAUGGUCCCCGGAGUCUGAUGCUGCAGCCUUCAGCUGCUGCAUGAAGGUCAGCACGAAGCCCAUCCCAAGCAAGAUCCUGCAGUCCUAUUGCAUCCAGAGCCCCUGGCUCACCACCAAGAAGGGCAGGAGGCUGUGCGUCCCUCCAGAUGCACCCUGGGUCACUGCCCUGAUGGAGAGGCUGGACGGAAAUUGAGCGUAAGAGGUGGGCAUGGCUA